rnacentral:rRNA from 1 species
UACGUAGGGGGCGAGCGUUGUCCGGAUUCAUUGGGCGUAAAGAGCUCGUAGGCGGCUUGGCAAGUCGGGUGUGAAAACUUCAGGCUCAACCUGGAGAUGCCACUCGAUACUGCUAUGGCUAGAGUCCGGUAGGGGACCACGGAAUUCCUGGUGUAGCGGUGAAAUGCGUAGAUAUCAGGAGGAACACCUGCGGUGUAGACAGCUUUCUGGACCACUUCUGACGCUGAGACACGAAAGCGUGGGUAGCAAACAGG